rnacentral:lncRNA from 1 species
AUGGAUCAGCUACUUCCCCUUCAAGGACGACCCAGAGAUGACAGACUACUUUGUUGGCUGAAUGUGGGUGUGGCAGUGAAACUGUCCAGACUGGUUAUGAGGAUAGAGAGAGGUGCUACUCCACUGACUGUCCCAGAACUCUCCUUGGUCCUAAAGAGCAGCCAGACACCAGAGAGAGUGUUAUCCAGGGCUCUGAGUAAUGUGGUGUCCCUUCUGAGACUCUGGAGGGUUCAGUGUCUGGACCUGACUGACCUUUGGAUCCAGGGUCACUCUCUCAUUGCACUGCUGUGUCACCAGGGGCCUCUCUCUCUUAGACUAAACUCAGAAACUUUGCAGCAGCUGACUGUAGUUGUGUAUGAAGCUCAGGACAAGGAGUUGACUCAGUGGUUCCUAGAGAAGGUUGGUGGAGACCUGACCUCCUGCAGGAUGGACUGGGAAGUGCUUCUCUCUCUGCUGCAGCAUUCAACCCACAACAUCACUGUGGACCUCAGGAAGAACAGGCUUCUAGAGAAGAACAUCUCAGAUCUUCUCCCCUUUCUGGGAAGGGUUACUCUCAAGAGGUCCAGUUCCAGCUUUGUAAAGUCCACCAUCAGACAGAUCUAUGACAGAGCCAGUGAAUGUGUGUCCAGUUUGUUGAGUUCUUCAGACCAUUGGAUCAACCUGAACAGCAGAGAGCUGGACAGAGUGGACUGUACCGCUCUGUGUUUUACCCUGCAGCACAGCCACCAAGUCAAAGUCAACCUGCUGUGGACCUCCAUACCACCGGGGGAGAUAGAGAGCAUCCUGCCUCUUCUGGACAGAGUCUCUCAACUCAGUGUUGACAGGAGGUUACUGCUGAGUUUCCUCCAGUGCUGUGCUGCCUCUCAGUUCCAGCAGGGGGGACCAUCAUCACUACCAACAGCAGUAUGGCUGCUCAGGUCUCUGCACUUCAGGCUGGACUUCUCCUGCUCCUCCUCUGUGGACCUGUCAGUUCAGGACCAGGAGAAGGCUCUGUGUCUGACCACUGACCACUGCAGGGCCAUCCACUCUGUUCUGAAGCAUAACCAACACGGCACCCAGCUGGUUCAGAACCAGGUCCAGCUCAUCCUAAGAGACUGUGAGGUGGAGGACAGAGCACUGAGGGAGCUGCUUCCCAUCCUGCAUAUUGUCAAGCUGAGUCCCAGCAAAGCUCUGCUACUUCAGCUGCUGGACCUUGUGUGUGAGGGGAUUGAAGAGGGGCUGCUGAGGCACGCAGAGUCCCUAUGCAGAGCCCUGGAUGGGGAGCUGGACCUCAGUGAGACCAGGCUGGACCUGAAGGCCUGUGGAUCUCUGGCCCUGGUUCUGGAACACUCAGAGGGUCUGUCAAAACUGGACCUCAGCCACUGUCAACUCACAGACCACCAGCUACAGCCCCUGAUCACACACCUGCAUAAAGUACAAGUCCUCGAGUGA